GUCGCCGCGAAGCGGGGUCUGGAGGAAACCGUAGACAAGAGGUGCGAGGCGACGAACAGAAACCACAUCAAGGAGGCCCAGGACGCCAGACGAGCCGGCACUAAAUGGUGAAUUCGAUGGUACAGCGUCUAGGGUAGAUGUGGCGCUUGUGCAUCAACAGUGUUCACGUU
rnacentral:ncRNA from 1 species